rnacentral:misc_RNA from 1 species
GAUGAAGAACGCAGCGAAAUGCGAUAAGUAAUGUGAAUUGCAGAAUUCAGUGAAUCAUCGAAUCUUUGAACGCACAUUGCGCCCCCCGGUAUUCCGGCGGGCAUGCCUGUUCGAGCGUCAUUUCAACCCUCAAGCUUUGCUUGGUAUUGGCGGAUUGCGUGCCCUAGCGGCGCUGCACCCGCCCAAAUACAGUGGCGGUCCCGCUGCGGCUCCCUUUGCGUAGUAACUCACCUCGCACUGGACCGGGCGGCGGCUCGCCGUAAAACCCCAACUCACGAAAUGUUGACCUCGGAUCAGGUAGGAAUACCCGCUGAACUUAAGCAUAUCAAUAAGCGGAGGA